rnacentral:rRNA from 1 species
AGAAGAUACCGCGGGCGCACGGCGGAUGCCUUGGCAUGGGAAGCCGAAGAAGGGCGCGGCAAGCUGCGAUAAGCCCCGGGGAGGCGCAAACGGCCUUCGAUCCGGGGAUUCCCGAAUGGGGGAACCCAGCAGGGGUCAUGCCCUGCUACCCGCACCCGAAUCCAUAAGGUGCGAGGAGGCAACCGGGGGAACUGAAACAUCUAAGUACCCCGAGGAAAGGAAAUCAACCGAGACUCCGGGAGUAGCGGCGAGCGAAACCGGACCAGAGCCCAAACCCGCGCACGUGCAAGCGACAGGGCGUUGCUGCGCGGGGGUUGCGGGGCGAGCCAUCCCGAGAGCCUGCUCUCUCGGGCGGAGUUACAAAUCCUAGAGGAAGCGGAACGGCAUGGGAAGGCCGGCCGCAGCGGGUGAGAGCCCCGUACGCGGAUCCCCUAGGACUCCGAGGCGCGUCCCCGAGUAGGGCCGGGCACGUGAAACCCGGUCCGAAGCAGGGGGGACCACCCUCCAAGGCUGAGCACUCUCCCAUGACCGAUAGCGAACAAGUACCGUGAGGGAAAGGUGAAAAGCACCCCGAGAGGGGAGUGAAAGAGCACCUGAAACCGUGCGCCCCCAAGCAGCCGGAGCACCCUUCGCGGUGUGACGGCGUGCCUUUUGUAGAAUGAGCCAGCGAGUUGCGUCCGGCGGCGAGGUUCAGCUCAGAAGCGAGCCGCAGCGAAGGCGAGUCAUUAAGACGGCGAUUGAGUCGCCGGGCGCAGACGCGAAGCCGGGUGAGCUAUCCAUGGGCAGGCUGAAGCAGGGGUAAGACCCUGUGGAGGGCCGAACCCACUUCGGUUGAAAACGGAGGGGAUGACCCGUGGAUAGGGGUGAAAGGCCAAUCAAACCCGGAGAUAUCUCGUUCUCCCCGAAAUAGCUUUAGGGCUAGCCUCGGCCGUUAACCCGCGGUGGUAGAGCCACCGGAUCGACGAGGGGGCUUCACCGCCUACCGACUCGAACCGAACUCCGAAUGCCGCGGGUCGAGAGGCCGGGAGUCAGAGGGCGUGGGCUAAGCUGCGCGCUCGAGAGGGAAACAGCCCAGACCGCCCGCUAAGGCCCCAAAGUCCAUGCUGAGUGGCAAAGGAUGUGCGUCUGCCCAGACAACCAGGAUGUUGGCUUAGAAGCAGCCAUGCAUUCAAAGAGUGCGUAACAGCUCACUGGUCGAGUGGACAUGCGCCGACAAUACACGGGGCUAAGCAUGGCGCCGAAGCGGCGGACUAAAUCAUUUAGUGGUAGGGGAGCUUCCCCGGGGGGGCGAAGCCGGAGGGCGACCUCCGGUGGACCGCCGGGGAGUGAGAAUGCUGGCACGAGUAGCGAGAGCGGGGCGAGAAACCCCGCCGCCGCAAGCCCAAGGUUUCCUGGGCGAUGCUAAUCAUCCCAGGGUCAGCCGGGAGCUAAGGCGAGGCCGAGAGGCGCAGCCGAUGCGCAGCUGGCAGAUAUUCCAGCGCCGCUCCCGCGCCGCUAUGACCGAAGGGGCGACGGAGAAGGGCAGCCGGGCGGGGUUCUGGACGUCCCCGUGAAAGCGCGUAGGGGGCAGGGCAUGGAAAUCAGCCCUGCGGACACCCCGAGACGCGAGACGAAGCCUUCAAGGCGAAGCCGGUCAUCCCAUGCUCCCGAGAAAAACCCCUAGGCAGGCGCGGGCGCGCCCGUACCAAGACCGACACAGGUGGGCGGGUAGAACAUACCGAGGCGAUCGGGAGAACCAUGGUCAAGGAACUCGGCACACUGGCCCCGUAACUUAGGGAGAAGGGGCGCCCCCCGGCGUGAAGGAGCUGUGCCUCCGGAGCGCGGGGGGGCCGCAGCGAAACGGCCCAAGCGACUGUUUACCAAAAACACAGGACUCUGCCAAGCCGCGAGGCGAAGUAUAGGGUCUGACGCCUGCCCGGUGCCGGAAGGUUACGCGGAUGCGUUAGCAGCGAUGCGAGGCGCUGAAGCCAAGCCCCGGUAAACGGCGGCCGUAACUAUAACGGUCCUAAGGUAGCGAAAUUCCUUGUCGGGUAAGUUCCGACCUGCACGAACGGCGUAACGACUUGGGCGCUGUCUCGACCAUGGACCCGGCGAAACUGCACUGUUCGUGAAGAUGCGAGCUACCUGCGGAAGGACGGAAAGACCCCGUGAACCUUCACUGCAGCCUGGCAUUGGCCGUUGGUACGGCGUGUAGAGGAUAGGCGGGAGGCUUCGAACCCCGGGCGCCAGCCCGGGGGGAGCCGCCCUUGGAAUACCGCCCUCGCCGUGCCGGCGGCCUAACCCGCGGCCCGAGACCGGGCGCGGGGACCGUGCCAGGCGGGUAGUUUGACUGGGGCGGUCGCCUCCCAAAUCGUAACGGAGGCGCGCAAAGGUCCGCUCAGGACGGUCGGCAACCGUCCCGGGAGCGCAAGAGUGCAAGCGGGCUCGACUGCGAGGCGUACAGGCCGAGCAGGGACGAAAGUCGGCUCUAGUGAUCCGGCGGCUCAGAGUGGAAUGGCCGUCGCUCAACGGAUAAAAGGUACUCCGGGGAUAACAGGCUGAUCUUGCCCAAGAGUCCACAUCGACGGCAAGGUUUGGCACCUCGAUGUCGGCUCAUCGCAUCCUGGGGCUGGAGCAGGUCCCAAGGGUACGGCUGUUCGCCGUUUAAAGCGGUACGCGAGCUGGGUUCAGAACGUCGUGAGACAGUUCGGUCCCUAUCCUCCGCAGGCGCAAGGGAGUUGAGGAGGGCCGCCCCUAGUACGAGAGGACCGGGGCGGACGGGCCUCUGGUGGAGCGGUUGUCGACCAACGGCACCGCCGCCUAGCUACGCCCGGAACGGAUAACCGCUGAAAGCAUCUAAGCGGGAAGCCGGCUCCGAGAUGAGCUCCCUGUUCGGUAAGGGCCCGGGUAGAACACCCGGUCGACAGGCCGCAGCUGCAAGCGCCGCGAGGCGCUCAGGCGAGCGGUGCUGAUAGCCCGAGCUCUUCUUCAC